rnacentral:lncRNA from 1 species
GUUGAUAAAAUGGGACAAUCACCGUCACCAAUUCCUUUUUCUUCUUUCCAUUGUCGAUGGAAACAUACUAUAUCGCCUUUCUAGCAUCUUGUAGUUCGGGCAUCGAUUGUAUCUUCCUAGUCUUAAUGCCUUCUUCCACGAAGUCUCCCAUUUUGACCAGCUUAGGGAACUUCUAUCCCAUCAUUCCCAUCAUAUUGUCGAAGUAGAUUUCUUUUUGAGCAUAGAUGAAAUAAUUGGUCAGCUUGUUGUCAUCAAGAUGGGGUUGUACUAUAGCUUCCCAUGACCUCUAACGACGAGCAUAUUCUUGAAAUAACAUAGAGGGCUUCUUCUGUAGGUUCACAAAAGAAAAUCUAUCUGAGGUGAUCUUAGUGUUAAACCGUGUUAAACUUAGAGCGAUUCAUAAAUUCUCGUCCAUCUCUUGCCAUUCUCUCUAGUUUCUAGAGUCAUGCCUGGUGUACCAAGUGUGCGAUUCCCCAGUCAGACUUCUUAUGAACAAUUUCAUCCUUAACUUCUCAUUUUUUCCCAAACCCACCAACGUGUCAUAGUACGCCAUAAGUUUGCAUGAGGAUUGCCAGUUCUAUCAAAGAUAUCAAACUUCGAAGGCAUGACCUGCCAGUAUAUCAACAUCAGGGUGUAUUCAUAGGUUUUCAUAAUCCAAGUUCUCGCUCCCUCGAGAAACUCGCAACUUCUUCCUCUGUUUCCUUAGUACUUGUAGUUGUUCAGAUAGCGACUCAUCUUCUUUAGUCUUUGCUUCUCUCUCUAUUUCAGCAUACUAGUAUAUCUCAUAAGGCAAUCAAAAUGUGAUGGGUGCGGUAAAAGUGGGUUCAAAAGUGUUUUAUACGUGUUAAAUAUAUCACUUUUGGGUGGUGGUGCAUGGUGUGGCUAAUAUACUAUGUGCUGUUAGUGAAAUUGACAUUUUCACGAGGAGGUGUUUGGGUCAAAUUAGUGGUGGCUAGGAUUUGGUGGAUCUUGAACAUAGUUGCGAACAUAAGUUGUGUGUAUAGAAGGGUUUUGUGGGUUUGUAUGGUACUAGCGGUAUAACUUAAGUUAUAGCGGGGUUUCUGGUGAUGGAGGAUAGUUUCUAAGGGCAAUGAUGUGAUUUUCAAGGUUUAGAAAGGUUGCACAAGCUUAUUGAAUCACUCUUAGGGAAUGAAUAUUUCAAAGAGGAGAUUAACGAACAAUUCAAUAGGAAUCCCCGAAAUUGCCUCCCAAACUCCCUCCUCUAGAUCUUCUUCAGGAUCUUCUUUAACCUCAUCCUUGUCCUCAUCAUGGUUGUACUUUGGAUCCUCUUCCUAAUCCUCCUCUAGAUCUGUCUCAGACCCAAUUUGUAUGUAUUCCACUAUCUAAUUUUUAUCAUGUAGUGGUGGAAACAUGUGAUCAACCGAUCUCGGGACCACGUGUUGAUGUAUGACAGUGGUGAUAGUGAGGUAGGAUUUCGUGGUAUAUAUAUAAGGCUAUUGUUGAGUCCUCCAAUCUAGUCAAUCCCUCCCUACUGGGCUUGACUAAUUCAAGUUCUUCAUUAAUCUACACAAAAUUCUCAAGCAUGCACCAUGAGGUUUCACCCAUACCCAUUGUGAUUAGAUCAUUCCUUGAGCCUUUUUACCCUUGGAAUUGGAAUCUGCUCAUUGUAGUCAUCCUUGUACAAAGUUAUCCUUGACCAAAGAGGCACAAACCUCAGUAGUGCAUAUGACUAUAUUCUUUCAAAGCCUACCAACUCGAUGAAGUAUUUCCUCGAGCUUCUCAUAAUUUCUCAACCGCUCAACCAAGAAAGUUUCUAGUUGAUGAAUUCUCCGGUUAGGGUAGAUAAAAACUCCCACAAAUCUUUUUGGUCAUAUGGUCUAGCCCAAUGCCUCAUCCUCUCGUUGUAACUAUGGAUCAUGUUAAUAGUGUCGACAAAGUAGUCGAUGUUCAGCUCUCUGGAAGAAAUGCUCUAUAGCAUAUAUCUACAGUAAUAAGUUACAACCUUUGAAGAAUUCAUACCCUCUUGAACAUGCGACAAAUAAAUGAACAUUUUUGCCAGUAUCAUAGGAACAAGAGUAACCCGCAGAUUUCCUCGAAAUGUAGCAGGGACCUGGGGUAGUAAGUUGUUAUUAAUUUUCCCCUUCCUUUGUGGGAAAGCCAGAAGUCCCAACACUGACAAGGAGAAGGUCAGGGGUGUUAGCAUGUGAUUUUUUCCCUGCUAAGACGACUCCCACAUGACUCUCAGGUUUAGGAUUUUCCUAUUUAUAUUUGUUUAUACGAUUUAAUUUUAGAAUUUAAUUGUGUGUGCCAGUGUGUUUGCAUUAAUGCAUGCUUAAAAUCAAUUAGGAUUUAAUUUCAUAUUUUUGCUAAAAUAAUUGUUAAUUAGGGUUAUUUCAGCGAAUAUAAUUUUCAAAAAAUAUGCAGGUAGUAUUUCUGGCAUUUUAAUCAUUUUUGUUUAACUUUAAUUUGUUUCAUUUUUUGUUUGCGUUAAUUAGGAAAUUUUAAAAUAGAAUUAGGAAUUAAAUAAUAAAAAAAGAAAAAAAAUAUACAUAUAUAUACAGCCACCCAGGCUGGCCACAAUUAGGCUAGACCUAGGUGGCCCAAACCCUUUUCCCUGUAAAUAUAUACAACACCCUGCCCAAAAUAGGUUCCCCGACCCAGUACACACACAACCUGCCCAAAAUGACACCGUUUUAGGGGCAAGCCACCACAGUCCUUGAUCAACAUGCCAUCCAAUGGCCCUGAAACCUUGCCCAAGACCAUAUACAUAUGUCAAAACAUGUCUAUACACUCAGAGACCAAACAAGCCUCCUUCCUCGUACAUACACUCUGGUGUAUCACCUCCCCUUGACCGCCCUAUGAACACCCUUGACCACCCAGCAUCCACCCAAACGCCGCCGCCGGAAAUCGCCUCACGGCGGCGGCCAGUCACCAAACCACCCAAACUUUACACCACCGGACCACCAUGACCUCCUCUUCCCCGUCCUGCAGUCAGCUUCCUUCGCAACCCUCCUCCGUCUCGAAUAUUCAAAAGAAGGAUCGUCGGAACCACCGUCUCUGACGACCCCACUCCAAAUCGUCCCAAAUUUACACCAUAGGACCACCUAGACCUCCUCUUCCCCGUCCUGCAAUCCGUUCCUUUCAAACAACUCUCCAUCCCCUCAAAUAUCGAUUUGAAGUCUGCCCUGAAACCUAAAUUCCACCAGAUUCCGGCCAAAUUGGCCUCAGACAAUUCCCGUCCGUUCCCCUCCCAAAGCAUGCCACCCAUAGUCCUCAAAUACCACUAACCACAAAUAAAAUUCAGAUCUGAGACCUCACUUGGUCUCAGAAUCACAAAAAUCCCAUUCCUGAACCCCCGAGCCCUUUAUUCCGAAAACCAGUUGCCCUAGAAGGUUAAAUGCCUCCCCAAAAGAGGUCAGAAACCAGCGAAAUGGAUUUAAGUUACGGUUGCAUGCGUACAAGCUAAAUAUUCUAUCUUUAAAUCACUACCGUUGCUUGUAUAUAAUUGCUUUGUUUCCUUUAAAUGUUAGCUUCUUUGUUUCUUUCAAAUAUUAGUUGUUUUUUCCGCAAUCUCAUCCUGAAGUAGGUUAAGUAGUCGUCUCUACUUUCUAUAUUCCUUAUUUCCUUUGGUAGUCACUAGUUUGAAUCCCUUCGUCCCUUCAGUGGUCUGAUAUCAUGUUGAUCUUAGCCUCCUGAUUCUGAAAUUUUACAUGGCUUGUGAUCCUGGCUUUUUUGACUUUUCAGUAAUGUGACCUCUAUGGUUUGUUGAUCUUCAUCUCCUGAUUUUCAUUUGUUUAAUUCCGUGAGACCCUGAUUAGUUUUGGUAGAUGUUUAUCUUUUGGACCAUACUUAUGCCGGUGAGUAGUUGUUUUUCAUCUUAUAAUAACUUUAAUUUUCAGUACUUGCAUGUAUUAGGCUAAUCUGUUUUGCAAAACCGUUAAUUGCUGAUAUCAGCCUCUAGUUUCCAGGUUCUAUUCGGGUAUAUACUGAGUGUUCAAUUCCUGUUAUACAUUUCUUACUUUCAAGUUUUACUGAGUACUUUAGUUGGGUCAUUUAUGUAAGUUAAGCAUCAGUGGAUGGGUUUCCUUUUCUGGUCCCUUUAAUUCAUUGGUUUUGAACGGUAUUUGUUGCUGAAAAAUCCACAUUAGGAUACUUACUUAAAACUUGAAUGGUAUUGGCUAAUUCUUAAACCUUUCAAUAGUCCUGUUAGCCCAUACCAAAAUUUGGCCAAAAACUUAAACACAAUUGACCAGGAUCAGGUUGACCAAACCAAGUGAAAACCAAGGGUAAGAAGGACCUUAGGUUAGUUAAUUAGGAAAGGAAAUAGGGGUAUAAGGGGUAUUUUAGCAUGAAAGAAUCUUGUAAAAACCCCUAGAACUUUCUAGUGAGGGACUUAAGCACAAUUUCAGCCUCAAAAUUGAGGCACAAAUCAGAAAGCUAAGGAUUGUUUAGGCAAAAACUGAAAUUUGAAUAAGGGACUAAAAGGAAAAGUGUCGCCCUAAGGCUUCACUAUAAAAGAGCAAUCUCAACAUUUUUGGGAGGAGAUUUUUGCCUGAAAGAAUAUAGUAACAACCCCUAGAACAUUCUAGUGAGGGACUUAGGCACAAUUUCAGCCUCAAACUUGAGGCACAAGUCAGAAAGCUAAAGACUGUUUAGGCAAAAGUUGAAAUUUGAAUAAGGGACUAAAAGGAAAAGUGUUGCCCUAAGGCUUCACUAUAAAAGAGCAAUCUGAACAUUUUUGGGAGGGGAUUUUUCCUGACCUUUUGGAAUAUAUUUUCGAGCAGAAUUUCUUCUGAAGCUUGAGUUAAUUAAGAUAUAUAAAUACACACUAGUUUCUUCUAUAUUCUUCAGAGAUCAUUAGUGUUAUUCUUAUUCUUGUAGAGUUUGAUUCUUUAGAAAUUCAGGGUAUUGAUUGAUCGAUUGACUGCUGUUGCUUGCUGAUUGCUUCAAUUUACUCAUAGGUUCCCUUUCCUUGUUGAAUUCCAAGUAUUCAUCCUCACUCAAAAGGUUGAGAAGUAAUGUUCAUAUGCAUACGAGAUUCUGGCUGAUAAUGAGAAAAAUAGUGCUUUGAUUUUAAUCCAAUGAUGUAAUUAUAUUUGUUUCCUUAGAAUAUUUCUGAUGUUGAUACUCAAUCUAAGCAUGUAUUAAUC